rnacentral:rRNA from 1 species
UACGAAGGGGGCUAGCGUUGUUCGGAAUUACUGGGCGUAAAGCGCACGUAGGCGGAUACUUAAGUCAGGGGUGAAAUCCCAAGGCUCAACCUUGGAACUGCCUUUGAUACUGGGGAUCUCGAGUCCGGGAGAGGUGAGUGGAACUGCGAGUGUAGAGGUGAAAUUCGUAGAUAUUCGCAAGAACACCAGUGGCGAAGGCGGCUCACUGGCCCGGUACUGACGCUGAGGUGCGAAAGCGUGGGGAGCGAUCCGG